rnacentral:rRNA from 1 species
UUGAACGCUGGCGGCAUGCCUUACACAUGCAAGUCGAACGGUAACAGGUCUUCGGAUGCUGACGAGUGGCGAACGGGUGAGUAAUACAUCGGAACGUGCCCGAUCGUGGGGGAUAACGAGGCGAAAGCUUUGCUAAUACCGCAUACGAUCUACGGAUGAAAGCGGGGGAUCUUCGGACCUCGCGCGGACGGAGCGGCCGAUGGCAGAUUAGGUAGUUGGUGGGAUAAAAGCUUACCAAGCCGACGAUCUGUAGCUGGUCUGAGAGGAUGAUCAGCCACACUGGGACUGAGACACGGCCCAGACUCCUACGGGAGGCAGCAGUGGGGAAUUUUGGACAAUGGGCGAAAGCCUGAUCCAGCCAUGCCGCGUGCAGGAUGAAGGCCUUCGGGUUGUAAACUGCUUUUGUACGGAACGAAAAGCCUCUUUCUAAUAAAGAGGGGUCAUGACGGUACCGUAAGAAUAAGCACCGGCUAACUACGUG